rnacentral:rRNA from 1 species
AUUGAACGCUGGCGGUAUGCUUAACACAUGCAAGUCGAACGGUAGCAGGUCUUCGGAUGCUGACGAGUGGCGGACGGGUGAGUAACGCGUAGGAAUCUGCCUAUUAGUGGGGGACAACUUGUGGAAACGCAAGCUAAUACCGCAUACGCCCUACGGGGGAAAGGAGGGGACUCGCAAGAGCCUUUCGCUAAUAGAUGAGCCUGCGUUAGAUUAGCUAGUUGGUGGGGUAAAGGCCUACCAAGGCGACGAUCUAUAGCUGUUCUGAGAGGAAGAUCAGCCACACUGGGACUGAGACACGGCCCAGACUCCUACGGGAGGCAG